UACGUAGGGAGCGAGCGUUGUCCGGAUUUAUUGGGCGUAAAGCGCGUGUAGGCGGCCCGGUAAGUCCGCUGUGAAAGUCGGGGGCUCAACCCUCGAAUGCCGGUGGAUACUGUCGGGCUCGAGUGCGGAAGAGGCGAGUGGAAUUCCUGGUGUAGCGGUGAAAUGCGCAGAUAUCAGGAGGAACACCGAUUGCGAAGGCAGCUCGCUGGGACGUUACUGACGCUGAGACGCGAAAGCGUGGGGAGCAAACAGG
rnacentral:rRNA from 1 species